UACGUAGGGCGCAAGCGUUGUCCGGAAUUAUUGGGCGUAAAGAGCUCGUAGGCGGCUUGUCACGUCGGGUGUGAAAGACCGGGGCUUAACCCCGGUUCUGCAUUCGAUACGGGCUGGCUAGAGUGUGGUAGGGGAGAUCGGAAUUCCUGGUGUAGCGGUGAAAAUGCGCAGAUAUCAGGAGGAACACCGGUGGCGAAGGCGGAUCUCUGGGCCAUUACUGACGCUGAGGAGCGAAAGCGUGGGGAGCGAACAGG
rnacentral:rRNA from 1 species